GGGCCGUGACGUAGACAUCCAGCGCCCCACCUCCCCCGCUCAGCCAAUCCCGGCCGCGCGCCGCUUAAAGGGGCGAUGCCGCGGCCCAGGCGAUGGCGUGGGGUCCACCGGCGUCGCGCGGCCCCGGGGAUGGCGCCUUUGUCUCCGAGGGGGCCGUUUCUGGGCCGCGGCGGCCUCCGCGUCUCAGCUCUGCGCGAGCCGAGCAGCAGCUGCCGAGGCCCCGGAAUCCUGACGCUGAAUGUGUGCGGGCAGCUCGUCCUCGGCUCGCGUUCCACCCGGCUAAAGGGGGCGCCGAGCGUCGCUCGGGGUUUCCCGUCGUUUUCUGGCCCCGGCGGGGCGGGGUUCGGCGCGUGUAACUGGGUCCACGGGCCGUUGCCGCUGCCGGGGUGGCGGGGGACGCCCGGGCCAAGGCCAGUGGAGCCUCUGCAGGCAGGAGGCCCGCGCACACCGGGAGGCCUGCGGGCCGAGGCGUAGGGGGGGUCAGCAUGGACAGAGUGGAGCAUUGACGGACAGUGUGGGAAGCAAGCGACGUCGAGAGACAGAGUUGCCCAGCGUGGGACAGCAUAGGGCAGGGGUAAGAAGAAGCUGUCCUUGGAGUAAGAGCAAGGAGAGGUUCUGGCUCAGAAACCAUAGAAUCACAGACACUGCUUUUCUAAAGACAUUGUUCGUUUUCCUCCUGUCUAGCAAGACCACAAGUCGUACGAACCCAAAAGUUUGGAUGCCACACUCUCGUGAGAGCCACCAAGGACUUGGAGGGAGACACAUUGGUUCCCCAAGAGUGGGCGGGCUGCCCCAUGAGAAAAGACACCAGAAACGGACUCAUCUGAGCCUAUGGAAACAAAGUACCUAUACCCUGAAGUGAACAGAAUUAAAAAUCCUCUUGAUAAACAGACCUCAGAGCUCUGGGCUGUUUGGUUUCAGAAUCUCUUGUCACCUACCCACCCUCUCCAUUUUGGGGUUUAAUGUUCAACGAGGUUAUCACAUGGAAAUCCAGCAAGCAAAUCUUAGGAGAUUUUCAGGCCAAAUUGUAAAACCCAUAAUGUUUACAUGGUCUAGAUAAAAUUUUAUUGUCUAUUUAUAUUUCAAUUUCCUAAAUGCCGAUAGCAAAACUGCCCUUAUAUAAACAUGAGAAGAAAUUCCCAGCACUCAAAUACUACUUUUAUCUACCUUCCCUAUCUCGAAGC